rnacentral:misc_RNA from 1 species
UGGCUCUCGCAUCGAUGAAGAACGCAGCGAAAUGCGAUAAGUAAUGUGAAUUGCAGAAUUCAGUGAAUCAUCGAAUCUUUGAACGCACCUUGCGCUCCUUGGCAUUCCGAGGAGCAUGCCUGUUUGAGUGUCUUGAAACUCUCAACUUCUUUGGAGUUUGUAAUGGACUUCUUAGCGAGUUGGACUUGGAGGUGUGCUGGCGUCUGACGUCGGCUCCUCUUGAAUGCAUUAGUGGGGCUUAGUGCUUGACCCAGUAGCGGUGUAAUAAUUAUUACCACUGCGAAACGGUUGAGACCUUCCUGCUUCUAACCGUCUGCAAGGACACUUUUCACUCUUUGACCUCAAAUCAGGUAGGACUACCCGCUGA